rnacentral:ncRNA from 1 species
UCGCGGGGACGACCCCGCGACGCUUUCAAGCGCCUAAUCCGGGGACGACCCCA